rnacentral:rRNA from 1 species
AUGGAUCAUCCGAAAAAUAUAGUAACACAACAUAUCCAGGAAGAGCGUAGAUCGAAAUGGAUUGCACAGAGCAAUCAUAAUUUGAAAUGUUUUACAGAAGAUGAGAUAAGAAGAUUUACCAACAACUACAAGACUGUACUCGGUAGAGGUGCCUUUGGAGAAGUUUAUGAAGGAGUCCUUGAGGACGAAAGUGUGGUUGCAGUCAAGAAGUUUAUCCAAAAUGAAAAAGAAAAUUUUGCCAAAGAGUUCAUCAUCCACCGUGAAAUUAAUCACAAGAAUGUAGUCAGAUUAGUCGGCUACUGUUCAGAUGCAAAUGCCCAAAUGUUGCUCAUGGAGUAUAUUCCUAAAGGAAAUCUGAGUAACAUCCUUCACCAUGAUAACAUUCCAAUAGCUUUGGAUACACGGCUAAGAAUUGCCACUGAAUGUGCAGAAGCAUUGCAUUAUAUGCAUUCAUACAUGAAUACUCCGGUAAUUCAUGGUGAUAUCAAGCCUGCUAAUAUACUUCUGGAUGACAAACUCGGAGCAAAAAUAUCAGACUUUGGAAUAUCAAGACUAGUCACCAGUGAAAAUACUCUAUAUACUCAAAGUGUGAUAGGAAGUAUAGGCUACAUGGACCCUCUGUUUGCUCGGAGUGGUCGCCUCAGCACAAAGAGUGAUGUUUACAGUUUUGGAGUUGUGCUCCUGGAACUGAUAACCAGAAAAAAAGCAAGAACAGAGGAUGAGGAGAUUAACUUGGUUGAAAGUUUUUUUCAUUCUCUUUCAAAAGGGUUUAGGAGGGUAAGGGAGAUGUUUGAUCCUGAAAUUGCAACAUCGAGCGACAUGAAGACUAUCGAUGAGACUGCAAAGUUGGCAGGUAAAUGCUUGGGGAUGGAACUCAGCAAACGUCCUGAGAUGUUAGAAGUAGCAGAAAGUCUUCGCAAACUUAGAAAAGCUGCACACCACACACAAGAAAGAAUAGCUCUGUUUUCUUGGGGAAGGAAACAAAAACUCAGUCCGACCGAAAUACCAUCGCUAGAAAGCAGUAGCAAUAGCCAAAAUAUGAGAACUGUAGCUACAGCUGAAAUGACCCCAUCACAAGAAAGCAAUGGUAGUACCCCAAAAACAGGAAGUGUGGCUUCAGCCAAAGAUCUAUCCGAGGGAAGCAGUAGCAGUACCCGAAAUGUGGGAACUUUUAUCAUUAGAUCGACAGUGACAGGCCAAUUGUUUGAGAUGGAGGACCUGCUUCGGGCAUCGGCUGAAGUUCUGGGCAAGGGUACAGUCGGGACAACAUACAAAGCGACUCUUGAAAGUGGAUAUGAGGUAGUGACCAAGAGGCUGACGGGUGUGGAGUUGCCGAAUGCGGAAUUUGAGCAGCAUAUCACGCUGAUAGGUGCCAUCGAGAACAAGCACAUUGUGCCACUGCAAUGGUAUUACUGUAGCACGGAUGAGAAGUUGCUAGUGUAUGAUAUCAUCCCCAUGGGUAGCCUAGCAAAAGUGCUCCACGGUGACAGAGACUCCGGUCCAUCUCCACUGAACUGGGAGCAGCGGUCAGCCAUCUCACUUGCUGCUGCGCGCGGUGUGGCGGCUAUCCAUUUAGCUGGACCAUCGAGCUGCCAUGGCAACAUCAAGUCUUCCAACAUCCUGCUCACGGGUACCCACGAUGCAUGUGUGUCGGAGCACGGCCUGAUAACACUUGGCACGUAUCCCAAUGCCUCCGGCUACCGCGCGCCUGAGCUCAUCGACAAUAAGUUGUUCUCCCAGGAAGCCGACGUGUACAGUUUCGGCAUCCUACUACUGGAGCUUCUCACACGCAAGGCCCCAACAAAUAGCAUAACGAAUAAGCAGGGAGUAGAUUUACCACGGUGGGUUUAUUCCGUUGAUUGGACGGCGGAGGUGUUUGACGUGGAGCUCCGAGGGCAAGAGCAGAAAGACGGGGUAGAAGAGUGCAUGGUGCGAAUUCUGCAUGUCGCCAUGAACUGUUGCAGUCAAUAUGUUGACUCAAGGCCUACAAUGUCUUAUGUUGUGCAGCAGAUCGAGGAGAUCCUUCAGUCCUGA